rnacentral:rRNA from 1 species
UACGUAGGGUGCGAGCGUUAAUCGGAAUUACUGGGCGUAAAGCGUGCGCAGGCGGUUGUGCAAGACAGGUGUGAAAUCCCCGGGCUUAACCUGGGAACUGCAUUUGUAACUGCAUCGCUGGAGUGCGGCAGAGGGGGAUGGAAUUCCGCGUGUAGCAGUGAAAUGCGUAGAUAUGCGGAGGAACACCGAUGGCGAAGGCAAUCCCCUGGGCCUGCACUGACGCUCAUGCACGAAAGCGUGGGGAGCAAACAGG